GGUCAGCGACUUAUAUUCUGUAGCAAGGUUAACCGAAUAGGGGAGCCGGAGGGAAACCGAGUCUUAAUUGGGCGUUAAGUUGCAGGGUAUAGACCCGAAACCCGGUGAUCUAGCCAUGGGCAGGUUGAAGGUUGGGUAACACUAACUGGAGGACCGAACCGACUAAUGUUGAAAAAUUAGCGGAUGACCUGUGGCUGGGGGUGAAAGGCCAAUCAAACCGGGAGAUAGCUGGUUCUCCCCGAAAGCUAUUUAGGUAGCGCCUCGUGAAUUCAUCUCCGGGGGUAGAGCACUGUUUCGGCUAGGGGGCCAUCCCGGCUUACCAACCCGAUGCAAACUGCGAAUACCGGAGAAUGUUAUCACGGGAGACACACGGCGGGUGCUAACGUCCGUCGUGAAGAGGGAAACAACCCAGACCGCCAGCUAAGGUCCCAAAGUCAUGGUUAAGUGGGAAACGAUGUGGGAAGGCCCAGACAGCCAGGAUGUUGGCUUAGAAGCAGCCAUCAUUUAAAGAAAGCGUAAUAGCUCACUGGUCGAGUCGGCCUGCGCGGAAGAUGUAACGGGGCUAAACCAUGCACCGAAGCUGCGGCAGCGACGCUUAUGCGUUGUUGGGUAGGGGAGCGUUCUGUAAGCCUGUGAAGGUGGCCUGUGAGGGUUGCUGGAGGUAUCAGAAGUGCGAAUGCUGACAUAAGUAACGAUAAAGCGGGUGAAAAGCCCGCUCGCCGGAAGACCAAGGGUUCCUGUCCAACGUUAAUCGGGGCAGGGUGAGUCGACCCCUAAGGCGAGGCCGAAAGGCGUAGUCGAUGGGAAACGGGUUAAUAUUCCCGUACUUGGUGUUACUGCGAAGGGGGGACGGAGAAGGCUAUGUUGGCCGGGCGACGGUUGUCCCGGUUUAAGCGUGUAGGUGUGUGUUCCAGGUAAAUCCGGUUCACUUUAACACUGAGGCGUGAUGACGAGGCACUACGGUGCUGAAGUAACAAAUGCCCUGCUUCCAGGAAAAGCCUCUAAGCAUCAGGUAACAUCAAAUCGUACCCCAAACCGACACAGGUGGUCAGGUAGAGAAUACCAAGGCGCUUGAGAGAACUCGGGUGAAGGAACUAGGCAAAAUGGUGCCGUAACUUCGGGAGAAGGCACGCUGACAC
rnacentral:rRNA from 1 species